GAAGUUGUGGCGAAAUUGGUAGACGCGUUGGUUUCAAAAACCAAUGAUUUCAUCAUGAGGGUUCGAGUCCCUCCUACUUCA
rnacentral:tRNA from 1 species